rfam:Aspergillus aculeatus ATCC 16872 unplaced genomic scaffold ASPACscaffold_1, whole genome shotgun sequence.
GGUUGUGUAGUGUAGUGGUUAUCACUUUGGAUUUUGACGUCAGAUCGACAGAAAAUUCCAAUAACCCCGGUUCGAACCCGGGCACGACCU